ensembl:lncRNA
UAUUAAGCCGAAAGGUUUGCUUUGGAAGUAUUUCGACUAUUAAAGUGGUGCAGAUUAUCACUUUUAUCAUAAUACUCUUUUUUUUUUUCUUUUGGUGUUUACACAACAGAGGAAGAAGAGAAGAAACAUGUAUUGAAGAUGUACUUCUUUAUACUGUACAGUAAUCACUGGAAUCAGAAACUCACGUGUGUGCAGGUUUUUUUUGCGGUUGAAGAACCAGAAUUGAUCCGCCUUUACGAACUUAGAGACUCCUCUCACCCUACAUGUAGGGUUCUUGUAGGUUAUCAGGGAGAACAGAGCUUGUAGUACAAAAUUGCUCGAGCUGGACGUGUAGCAACCACAGGCAUGUUUCCUAUUAUCAGCUUAUCCUGUAUACUGUAGGCAUCAUGGGACUUUCAUGCAGGUAAACUCAUCAACCACAUAGCUGCACCUGUUUAGACAGGGAAGACGACAUGUAGCCAAGCCAAACAACAAAAAAAUAAAGGACGUAGAACAUGAAUGUCUAUGAAGAGCCGAAUUCUAGGUCAGUGGUUUUCAUAGUGGGGCCGCGGCCCCCUCAGGGGCCUCCAGGGGGCGCCCGGGGGGCCUCAACAAUUUGGUCAGAGCCACCAAGCUCAUCCCUCCCACUAGUAUGUUUUCUCUUUCUCACUCUCAGACAACCACACACACACACAAUCAAUUCCUAAUGUAAUGUGAUGUAACGUAAUUAUUAAUUUUUAAAAAAGGGGGGGAUAUAUUCAGAAGUCUGUAUUUUUAAUGUGUUUUAAAGACAUCUUGGAAAAGGGGGCCCUCGGUUAAGUGUUAAUGCCAUUUAGGGGGCCUUGCCCUGGAAAGGUUUGGGAACCCCUGGUCUAGGUUAUUUAUGAAUGCAUCAAGUGUGUGUUAUAUAAGAGAGAUUCAGUCAUGUGCUUUUGAAUACAAUCUGACACAAGAUACACAGACUUAAUAAUAAUAAUCGGUUACAUUAGUAACGUGCAAAAAAAAAAAUGUACAGCACUGAAUAGCAAAGCCUUCUUUGUAUUGCUCUUACGUCACGCGAUAUCUUCAGUGGGGAAAACAAUCACGGAGGUUGUGACUGCAUUUCAGCACGGCUCUAUUCGCAGGCACUGAUGAAGGAGAAAUACAGUGCAACCCAAACAGGAAAUACAUUCACAUCAAGUCAGAAUUUAAUUCUUAAUGGGGCGUGAGAGAGAAAAAAAAAAAGGAAUGCAAAAGGUUUUGCUUUUCAGUGUGGUACGUUUUCUGCAUGUCACUAAUGAAACUUUUUGUGUUGUUGUCGUGUUGUUUUUCCCCCACAAGCGUGAUUGCUUAUCGUUCUGACACGGAAUCUUCUGAUCACUUCCAGCAUUGCGUCAGAACAGUGAUGAUAAACAAUAACCACUAGAUGUCCUCCAGCUCCAAAAUAUUAUUCUGAGAAGAAAACAGAACAUUCUGACCACAAACAAUAUCCUAGAGCUUAAAAGUGUGAUUAAAAGUGUAUAUCUUGAGACGGACCGUCUGAGCACUGUAAUGCGAUAUCAUUAAACGUUCCAGCUUUUAUUCAAUAAAGCUGUCUAUUUUUAAAUAAACUGCCAUUACUGCUUUAAGAAAACUUGAUUCUGGGAACAGGAAGCAAUUCUGAUUGAUAACCUGUAAAAUACUCUUUUAUAAUUUGUAUUUGAUGGUUGUACAUAAAAUCUGCAUAAACCUAAUUGGUAUAAAAUAAACCAUGAUUUUCUUUGUUAAAUGGGAACACGACGUAAAUCAAGCAAGCUUUCACCAUGU